GCUCACUUCUGCAAACAUAUGCUAAAAUUGGAAUGAUACAGAAAAGAUUUGCAUGACCCCUGCGUAAGGAUGACAUGCAAACUCAUAACAUGUUCCAUAUUUUU